GAAAACCAAGAAAAAUUUCAUUCUGAGUAUAUACAGAACUGCUGGGAAGAGAUCAUUCUAUACAUGUAGUACAUAUGCAAAUAUCAUAUAUGAGGAAGUAUGAGUUAUUACACAAUCAUUAAUAACUAAGCAUGCCAAAUCAGUCAUCAGGUUUCAAAGAAUCAUAGCCUUGUUUCAAGAGGUCCUGCCAGGUUUUAAGGAAACAUGCAUUUUCUGUACAUUGGAAGACAAGCUAUUCCACUUGAGCUGGUACUGCAGAUGUGACCUCAAGAAAUUUGGUUAAUGAAAAUGCUGCAUCUCUGAUCUGCAUCUCCACUUUCUCCAGCAGGUCUACCAUUUGGCCCUUGUUCCUGCUCAGAACUGGCCAGCCCAAACUCACUGGUUGCGUGGGAAAGAUGCUAAAAGGUGUUUGAAGAUGAGGAAGAAAAGGGAAGUUCUGGGAGCUGGUGAAGAAACCCACAACUCCUCAAGGUCAGCCAUGGGGAAGAGCUAGGAGCUCAGAAUCCAACCAGCAAGAGGACAUUUUAAAACAGCUCUGGGGAUGCCAGGCAAGAAGGAGAUGACGGGGUAGAUAAUGGUUACUUUGUAAUUUUCUGGAAGAUCAUGCUGGUUCUACUAGAAGACUUUUACCUCACAUGAUUGGAUGCUCCUCAAGCUGAACUUCUUCCAUUUGUGAUA
rnacentral:lncRNA from 1 species